UCGGAUGCAUAGGAAAAACUCGACGUUUAUCGACACCAACGGAGAGGAGGAAUCUUUUGGGGACGACCCUGUGGGGAAAGAUAUCAACUAUACGCCAACGGACGCAUAGGAAAAACUCGACGUUUAUCGACACCAACGGAGAGGAGGAACUUCACCAGGGAAGGGACGACGUUACGAACAUCGAAAGAUGAUGUUUACAGACAUCAAAGAAUACCAGACACUACGCAU
rnacentral:lncRNA from 1 species